GCGGAUUUAGCUCAGUGGUAGAGCGCUUGCCUGGCAAGCGCAAGGCCCUGGGUUCGGUCCCCAGCUCCGUA
rfam:Rattus norvegicus chromosome 16, whole genome shotgun sequence.